ensembl:lncRNA
UCAGUGUUCACAUAUUUUAAACCUUUACAGAAAGCUUAUUUUGAAAUGCCAAUGCUCAGACUGAACACACAUGUCUGUUGACAGCAUCUAUACACAAUGAUGAUUCCAGCCAUCUGGGUCAGAGAGAAAGCAUGUCUGACUGGUUUGAAUAGGAAAGCUGGACAUUGCCUAGAGGUCUCUCCAAAAGAAGCUCAUCUGAUUUGUUUUAUCUCUGCCUUGAGCCUGACAUCAUAUGGAUCUUGUUAGCUAGGCCUGGACAGAAGGCUACUUACUAUUUGAGGAAAUUGAAUUAGAGGAUAGGUCAUUGCAGAUACCAUUGAGAAAAUUGAAUUGAGUCGCAAGUGGUAGUAAGAAGGAAUAUUUUCAUCAUGAG